AACUCUGCUGUGUUAUCCAUGGCUGGUCUAAAAUGCAUGAGUGUACCCUGCUGUUGCAGCGUCUUCAGUGUGAUAAGCAUCCUCACUGGACAAAGUUCCCUUUAGGACACGCAUGCAAGUGGGCUCUGCGCUUCUAACAGUCCCGCUUUUGGGACAGCUUUGACAACUUGACCUCAGAUCGGGUGGGACUACCCGCUGAACUUAAGCAUAUCAAUAAGCGGAGGAAAAGAAACUAACAAGGAUUCCCCUAGUAACGGCGAGUGAAGAGGGAAAAGCUCAAAUUUUGAAUCUGGUGUCUUUGGCGCCCGAGUUGUAAUCUAGAGAAGUGUUUUCUGCCUCGGACCACACAUAAAUUCCCUGGAAUGGGGUUUCAUAGAGGGUGAGAAUCCCGUUUGUGGUGUGGACUACCUUGGCUCUGUGAUACACUCUCAACGAGUCGAGUUGUUUGGGAAUGCAGCUCAAAAUGGGUGGUAAAUUCCAUCUAAAGCUAAAUAUUGGCGAGAGACCGAUAGCGAACAAGUACCGUGAGGGAAAGAUGAAAAGCACUUUGGAAAGAGAGUGAAACAGUACGUGAAAUUGUUGAAAGGGAAGCGUUUGAAGUCAGUCACAUCUGUCGGGACUCAGCCUGGCUUUGCCUGGUGUACUUCCUGGUGGAUGGGUCAGUGUCAGUUUUGACCGGGAGAAAAAGGCUUGGGGAAUGUGGCUGUCUUCGGGCAGUGUUAUAGCCCCUUGUCAUAUGUCUCGGUUGGGACUGAGGUUUGCAGCACGCCUUAUGGCCGGGGUUCGCCCUCGGUACGUGCUUAGGACGCUGGCAUAAUGGCUUUAAGCGACCCGCUGA
rnacentral:rRNA from 1 species